CAUCUUGGACUCAAUGAACACCACAAGACUACAAGACUUUGUGGAUUUGUAGGCCUUGAUUUACUGGAGAACAAUACAGAGCCUCAGAGGAAAAGUUAUAGUUGCAUACUUCAUCAUUCUACUUAAGCCAUUCAUGGAACACUUCAGUCUUCAAUCCCAAAAGGAAACACAACACACUAGGACACAAGCACCAGCUAACUGCAGGUGAGAAGCCUGUGACAGAACCUUCCCAGCAGCCAGGAUUCCCGUCAGUUAGUUCCAGGCUAUUGUUAAACACUACAAAUAAAAAGACAGGAGCACCAUAUUAUGUUUGAUGUUUCCAUGCUACCUCUCAAAAUCCAGCAGGUCCAAG